rnacentral:rRNA from 1 species
UACAGAGGUGGCAAGCGUUGUUCGGAAUUACUGGGCGUAAAGGGCGCAUAGGCGGCCAUCUAAGUCAGACGUGAAAUCCCCCGGCUUAACCUGGGAACUGCGUCUGAUACUGGACGGCUCGAGUUUGGGAGAGGGAUGCAGAAUUCCAGGUGUAGCGGUGAAAUGCGUAGAUAUCUGGAGGAAUACCGGUGGCGAAGGCGGCAUCCUGGACUAAUACUGACGCUGAGGCGCGAAAGCUAGGGGAGCAAACGGG